GUGAAAUGUAUUAUCCUUGUGCCGUGUUAGUGUUAUACGCGUUGAACAGCCAAUUAAACUAUACCCCAGAAAAAAAAAUCCGAUCUUUCCUGGUAAUGAUCUUUCUCUCUUUCUCAAUUUCAAUCCGUAGAGGUUUUAAGGUACUUGUCAUCCAUUGAUUUGUAAUGGCUCUUUUUCUUUUUUGAUUUCGAUAUCUAUUAGUUUACUCGUAAUUGAAACUUGGGUACUGGGUGGUGACUUUGAAUUUCUGGUCCUCAUAGUCAAUUUUUCUAAAAGUUUAAUUCACGGGUCUUCAAUUUGGAUUAUUUGAUCAUCUGUGUGUUCAUAAACUGGUUGAGAUAAGUUUAUGGCUUAUAUUAAUGGAGGUGGCAGAAGGAGUUCUGGUUGAGCUUAUGUUUAACUUUUGGUAUUGAAUUUGAUUUUGAAGGAAAUAUCAGAUAUAUAGGAUACUUUUUGGAUUUUGUUUUUCGGAGUGCAGCAACAUGGGUUGCAUUUCUUCUAAGGAUAGUAGGCCAAACAGCCCAAAAGAGAGGCUAUCACGUAAAGGAUCAUUGGACAGGCGUGUUGCUCAUGUUAAUUCAUCUAGAAGGGAUGAUGGGAUUCGGUCAAAGUCUAAAUCAGAUAGCGGAGAUGUUAAGGUUGUGCUAAUUGAUAAGAAAACAAAUGGUUCGAAUAGGUUACAUGAUGAUCAGAUAGAGAAAAAGCAAAUAGAGAAUCAGAUCGAGAAAAAGAAUGUAGAGAAUUGUGAAGUUGCUGUUAUAAGGCAUCCUCAGAUUGAGAGAACGAAGACAGAGAAGUGUGAUGUUUCAGUUUGUAGUCAUCCGGGUUGGGGAAGGGUGCCAAAGAGUUUGGAAGGAGAGCAGGUUGCGGCAGGAUGGCCAUCUUGGCUUGCCUCAGCAGCUGGAGAAGCUAUCAGGGGAUGGGUGCCUCGGCGUGCUAAUACAUUUGAGAAAUUAGAUAGAAUUGGCCAAGGAACUUACAGUAAUGUUUACAAGGCCCGUGAUGUCACUUAUGAUAAAAUUGUAGCUAUAAAAAAGGUUCGGUUUGAUAAUAGUGAUCCAGAAAGCAUCAAAUUUAUGGCCCGUGAAAUUCAUAUUUUGCGUAGGCUGGAUCAUCCCAAUAUAAUUAAAUUGGAAGGCUUGAUAACAUCUCAGACAUCUUCAAGUUUGUACCUUGUCUUCGAAUACAUGGAACAUGAUCUUACUGGACUUGCCUCACUUCCUGGCAUCAAGUUCACAGAACCACAGAUCAAAUGCUACAUGCAGCAACUUUUAAGUGGACUUGAUCAUUGCCAUAGUCACGGUUUUCUGCAUCGUGAUAUAAAGGGUUCUAAUCUUCUUAUUGAUGACAAUGGCAUCUUGAAAAUUGCGGAUUUUGGCUUAGCAAGUUUCUUUGAUCCUAAAGGUAGUGCUCAAUUGACAAACCGUGUGGUGACCCUUUGGUAUCGAGCACCAGAACUUUUACUUGGAGCCUCUCGCUAUGGAGUUGCCGUAGAUUUAUGGAGUACUGGUUGCAUUCUUGGGGAACUGUACGCUGGCAAACCUAUUUUGCCAGGAAGAACUGAGGUUGAGCAACUGCAUAAGAUUUUUAAGCUCUGUGGUUCACCUUCUGAGGAUUAUUGGAGAAAACUGAAGCUACCUCAUUCAUCUGUAAUCAAGCCUCAACGACCAUAUAAACGAUGUGUUGCAGAAACAUUUAAAGAUUUACCCGCUUCUGCAGUUGGACUUAUGGAGACCUUGCUUUCCAUGGAUCCAGCCAACCGUGGAACUGCAGCUUUUGCUCUUAGGGACAAGUUCUUCAGAUCAAAACCAUUGGCUUGUGAUCCUUCAAGUUUGCCCAAGUAUCCUCCGAGCAAGGAGAUUGAUGCUAAAUUGCGGGAUGAAGAAGCUAGAAGGCAAGGAGCAAUUGGAGUGGGGGGGAAUGGACCACGUGAAUCUGGUGCUGUUCUAGCAUGUAAUACCAAUUCCAAAAUAGCAACAUUGAUGCAGGAAAGACGACAUUCCAAUGCAAAUAGCAGAGGUGAAAUAUUCAACUCUCACAAGGGGCAAACUGUUUCUGGUUUUCUGGUUGAUCCUUCUAAACAAACUCAAGCUGCAAAAGAAGGGAGGAAAGAUUUCCCAGAGAAUCAACGCAAGAAGGUUUCUCAUUCCGGGCCACUGGUCCAGGGGACAGGCUGGACAAAGGCUGGAAAGGAUCUUGAUAAUCCUAAUGUGGCAUCAACCAGAACCAACCUAUCAACCAUAUCUGGUUUAGUAGCAGCUAGAACUUCAUUGGCUGAUGAUCAGCAGGGAAAGCCUAGUAGUUCACAGCCAGAAGCAGUGAAACAGGUAGGUGGGUUUCAGGGAUCUUCAAAUGGAUUAGAGCCCACAACAAAGCAGAAUCAAAAACAUCAAGUGCGUAAGCCUGCAGAUUCUCCUCAGGCAGAUAGCGAAAAAUCCAGAGAAGCAAGUCUGGUAAGUUACUUGACAUCGUUCCAAAGAAUGAUUCCCGCUGCAUAUGCAUGGCUGACCUCAUUUUUGUUGAUCUCCCAUUAAAUGAAAGUCCGAUGAUUCUCUGAGCGUGCAGCAACGCAUUUCAGGGGUUUUUCAAUUUAUAUCAAAGGACUGGACCUUCUUUAACCAUAUGAUCAUAACAUUUUGUUCAUGUUUCUCUCCCAGUAUGGUCGCGGGCCAAGGGGAAGCAAGAUUUAUGUCUCUGGUCCAUUACUUGUUCCAUCAAACAAUGUAGAGCAAAUGCUCAAAGAUCAUGAUCGUAAGAUUCAAGAAUAUGCUCGAAGACGACUGGACAAGACAAAACAUGGGAAAAUGACUAUCCAGGCGAAGCAAUCAACUGAGAAUUUGAUGUACAUCUCUAAGAACUCAGGUGGAUAAAUCAACAAUGAAACCUCGACUUCUCUUUGCAAGGAACCGGCUUGACCGUUGGGAUAGCUAAUUACCUUGUGGCGCACUGUACAGAGGGUGCAUUUUCUUCAAAACCAACUAUUUUAAAUAAUUAUUUUGUAGUAUAUAUAAUGUAUGCCUUAGUAAUAUAUCUCUUAAAUUUCUACACAAAAAAUAGAAAAAUCAAAUCCAGGUCGAUUUUGAAGCCUCUUUUUUUCUUUGGAACAAUAUCGAAUGAAACAUUUAUGGAGGCAAGGUCUGUACCAUUUUUAUCCAUACAUCAUAGCAUAAAAGAAAAAUCAAUUAAAACCAUUGAAGAGUUGGUAAUGAUGAUAUUUGAGGAAAAUUUUAGUGUUCAAGACAGAUGGUAUUGGUUAAUCUUCUGCAUUUGCAAUGAAUGAAUGCAUGGUUUCGGA
rnacentral:misc_RNA from 1 species